rnacentral:rRNA from 1 species
UACAGAGGUCCCAAGCGUUGUUCGGAUUCACUGGGCGUAAAGGGUGCGUAGGCGGUCGGGUAAGUCUGAUGUGAAAUCUCACAGCUUAACUGUGAAACUGCAUUGGAUACUAUCCGGCUCGAGGAAUGGAGGGGAGACUGGAAUACUUGGUGUAGCAGUGAAAUGCGUAGAUAUCGUUUGGAACGCCAAUGGUGAAAACAGGUAGCUGGGAGUGUGCCGACGCUGAGACACGAAAGCCAGGGGAGCGAACGGG